rfam:Stegodyphus mimosarum contig102271, whole genome shotgun sequence.
GCCUUCGUGGUGUAAUGGUCAGCACACUGAGCUGGUAUUCAGAGGUCCGUGGUUCGAUUCCCGGCGAAGGCA